rnacentral:rRNA from 1 species
AGCUAAUAGAUACCCUGGUAGUCCACGCCCUAAACGAUGUCUACUAGUUGUUGGUGGAGUAAAAUCCAUGAGUAAACGCAGCUAACGCGUGAAGUAGACCGCCUGGGGAGUACGGUCGCAAGAUUAAAACUCAAAGGAAUUGACGGGGGCCCGCACAAGCGGUGGAUUAUGUGGAUUAAUUCGAUGCAACGCGAAAAACCUUACCUGGCCUUGACAUGCCACUAACGAAGCAGAGAUGCAUUAGGUGCCCGUAAGGGAAAGUGGACACAGGUGCUGCAUGGCUGUCGUCAGCUCGUGUCGCGAGAUGUUGGGUUAAGUCCCGCAACGAGCGCAACCCUUGCCAUUAAUUGCCAUCAUUUAGUUGGGCACUUUAAUGGGACUGCCGGUGACAAACCGGAGGAAGGUGGGGAUGACGUCAAGUCCUCAUGGCCCUUAUGGCCAGGGCUUCACACGUAAUACAAUGGUCGGUACAGAGAGUUGCCAACCCGCGAGGGGUAGCUAAUCUCAGAAAGCCGAUCGUAGUCCGGAUUGUUCUCU